CUGACAAGCUGUACUAAAUUCUCUUUUCUGGCCAUGACAAUUUCCUUCCCAGCAGCUCUCACCCAAAGUGCCAGAGGCAGCAGCAGAAGGGGACAUUGCCAUCCUGAGCAUUCCCACAGAACCAGGAGCAAGAACGUUUCUGAGGGAUAACAGGGGUCAUUCACAGGUUGUUUUGGCAAGUAAUCAACUGUAAAGGUGAUGAACAGCUGAUAUAAAUACAGUCUCCAGAUGCAAAGCCAUCCUCCAAGUUAGUGAGUGACAGCCUGUGCCCUAAAGAUGUGAGCAGCAAAAACGGAUCUACCCAGGACUCCUCCCAGAGAUCCUGACAGCCCUGCUUGCAUUUUAGUGAGUGACGUGCUGGUUUAAAGUGCUGCAGUGAAUCCUGAGAGAAGGCAGAGGAAGAGCUGAAAAUCAGAAAUGUAUGGUCCAGGAAGAUUUUGGUUAUAAGCAGAAAGAGUGAGGAAGGAAGAUCCCUUUUGUUCCUUGCUGAUAAAUCUGACUGAGUUGAGAGGGUCCUGUCAGACAGUGAAGCACCAAGGCCCAAAAUCUCAAAGGUGGAAGGAUUUUUAACCUCUGCUGGUUUCUCUCAAUUUCUAGUUAACUUUCUCUUAAUAUGCAUUUUCUAAAAACUUUUACAAGCAUAUUUGCAGUUUAGAGGGUGCUAUCUAUGCUCCUGCCUGAUUUGUAUCUGAUAAAGAAUGGAUACAUUUAUUUAUUGAAUGUGUGUUUCUGGUGUAGGUUCAGAUUCAAUUUCCUGUUCACAAAUACACAUUUGCUUGGCUUAGAUCUUGAUUUCCCUUUGCAUAACACCUGCACAGCUCAGAAAUUUGCUUCUGUUAGAAUUCAAGAAAACCUCAAAGAAUCUCUGUUCCUGGGAAUAUUUGAGAGAGAAGGGAUGAUAGAUUGUGCCUGGUUGUCUUUUAUUGUUUUGAUAUCUGUAGCCUUUUUUGGACAGUGUUAAUUUAAGUAUGUCUGGGGAUAUGAAACUCUUCUGUUUGUGGAAAUGAAUCCCUUAAUGAUCUAAUACAAGAAGACAUGGAGAGUCUGUACAAAAGUAUGCAACUUCCACAUAGGUCAAGAAAAUCUAGGACUUAUUUUUCUGUGUCGUGUCAAAAAUCUUACUCAGGAAAAUGAGCCACCCCAGAGGGGCUGCUCCUUCGGGUCCUAUGCACAAGCUUUGAUUCCUAUUCUCAUUUUUAAUAAAAUAAU